rnacentral:rRNA from 1 species
UAAACAAAGGGAAGCGAGCCUGCGAGGGGAAGCGAAUCCCAAAAAUAACGUCCCAGUUCGGAUUGCAGUCUGCAACUCGAGUGCAUGAAGCUGGAAUCGCUAGUAAUCGCGGAUCAGAAUGCCGCGGUGAAUACGUUCCCGGGUCUUGUACACACCGCCCGUCACACCAUGGGAGUCGGGAAUGCCCGAAGCCGGUGGCCCAAUCUGUAAAGAAGGGAGCCGUCGAAGGCAGGCCGGAUGACUGGGGUGAAGUCGUAACAAGGUACC